rnacentral:rRNA from 1 species
UACAGAGGGGGCAAGCGUUAUUCGGAAUUAUUGGGCGUAAAGGGCGCGUAGGCGGCCUGGCAAGUGGAAGGUGAAAUCCCUCGGCUUAACCGAGGAACUGCCUCCCAAACUGCUUGGCUUGAGACCGGGAGAGGUGAGUGGAAUUCCCAGUGUAGCGGUGAAAUGCGUAGAUAUUGGGAGGAACACCAGUGGCGAAGGCGGCUCACUGGACCGGUACUGACGCUGAGGCGCGAAAGCGUGGGGAGCAAACGGG